rnacentral:rRNA from 1 species
CAGUAGGGAAUCUUCCGCAAUGGACGAAAGUCUGACGGAGCAACGCCGCGUGAGUGAUGAAGGUUUUCGGAUCGUAAAACUCUGUUGUUAGGGAAGAACAAGUACGAGAGUAACUGCUCGUACCUUGACGGUACCUAACCAGAAAGCCACGGCUAACUACGUGCCAGCAGCCGCGGUAAUACGUAGGUGGCAAGCGUUGUCCGGAAUUAUUGGGCGUAAAGCGCGCGCAGGCGGUCCUUUAAGUCUGAUGUGAAAGCCCACGGCUCAACCGUGGAGGGUCAUUGGAAACUGGGGGACUUGAGUGCAGGAGAGAAGAGUGGAAUUCCACGUGUAGCGGUGAAAUGCGUAGAGAUGUGGAGGAACACCAGUGGCGAAGGCGACUCUUUGGCCUGUAACUGACGCUGAGGCGCGAAAGCGUGGGGAGCAAACAGGAUUAGA